GGGGGGAGUGCCGGAUCUUGGGCUGUGUCUCCAGCGCCCUGUGCUCCCGAGCCUGGGCUGUUGGAAUCAUGCUCCUGUCUGCGCAGCUCUCU
rnacentral:pre_miRNA from 1 species